GUUCAUCUUCAGGGCAGGGUGUGAUUCCCGACCGGCGGUAAUAACCCGCGACCUAUGCGUGUGCAUAGUGAUUUGGUGCAAUUCCAAAGUCGACAGUAAAGUCUGGUAUAAAGAAGAUCGAG
rfam:Lactobacillus plantarum WCFS1 complete genome